UUUUUUUUAAAAAGAAAGAAAAAAUAAUUGAUUAAAAUGAUUUGUUGUUUAAAAAACAGAUCAGAAAAUGAGAGCUGUGAGUCUUAAAAUGGUUCAAGCAGGACCUGACAUUAUCUGAUUAUGAUGGAUUUACAUUUUGCUGACUGGACAGUUAAACUUUUCCUCAAUAUCAUCCCAUAUUUGCACGCUGUGGGUUUCAGAAUCAGUUUAUGUUACUUGAGGACCUUUGAUAAUGCUGUUCUCUGUGUUAUUUCUCUGUUCCCAAACAGAACACAACUGAUAGGACUUUGGCAAACGUCAUACCAGCCAAUGUCCUUUGACUGGACCCACCGCUCAUUAAAGACGUUGGUGUCUCAGAACCAGAAGGGACCUGGCCAAACACAAACACACCCUUGUGGGAGGUUUAUAGGGGAUAAAAGUGCGGAGAAGAAAGAGCUGAGAGAAAAAUCUGGGUUGAAGAAAAAUCCAGAUUAUCAGACCUGUUAAAGGGGUUUAGGCAAAUAAAAAGUCUCACACUUGCCACUGGAGUUUCUUCUUAUCUAAGCUCCCGUCAAGAGGGGGGGCAUAUGCAGCAGCUUCUCUGGGUUUCCACUCCGCUUUGUUUUGUCUUCCCUCUGAGAUAAUGCUUUGUGUAUCUCAGUCUUGGCGCCAAGCACAAAGUGAUGAUGCAAAAACAUGAACAGGUUGCAGGUGAACAGUUUCACUCUUGACUAGAGAAGUCCAUGGCUGUGUUCUGGUAAUUAAUGGUUAAAGUAGUUCCUUGUCUGUCAGGAAGUGGAAGUUUAUUUGUCACAUAUAAAGCUUAGGUCAAUAAGUCGACUAUCAGUGUAACUUUAGGUUAAAAGAGAAAAAUGCUGCACAAUCCUACAUAAUUUUGAUCUGAAGUACACCAGCAAAUUUACAACAAAUUCACAGACUGAAGAUUUCAUUAACAAUUUAACCACCCAAAAAAAAUCACUAAAAAAGUAUUUUUUUUCUGCGACUUAUUCCCGUGGUACGGAGCCCCUAAAGGGACAUCGAGGUUAAGAAAAAAUGUAAGAAUUUUUUUUUUUUUAAUUGAAGUAAAAAAAAUGCUGGUUAGUAACUGGUGCACACCAUGUUCUAUCCAGUUUUUUUGUUUUUUUCCAUUUUUUGAAAAAAAUGUAUAUCCAGGUUAGUAACUGGCGCACACUUGAUAGUAACUAAAAAUUAUUUAUUUUUUUUCUCAAAAACAUUAAGUAAAUUCUAGUUACUAUCCAGUUACUAUCCAGAUUUUUUUAACUUCAAUUUUUAGAAAGAAAAAAAGUAUGUUUUGGUUAGUAACUGUUGUGCACCAGAUAGGAAAAAAGAUAAAAAAAAUUUAAAUAAAAAAAAAAAAA